AUGUUGUCUGUAGCUCUGCUGCUCCUGUUGGCUGCUGGGUCCUGUGUGAAAUGUCAGCAGCUGACUCAGCCAGCCUCUGUAACUGUGCAGCCAGGUCAACGUCUGACCAUCAGCUGUCAGGUCUCUUAUUCUCUCAGCAGCUACUGGACAGUCUGGAUCAGGCAGCCUGCUGGGAAAGGACUGGAGUGGAUUGGAGGAGCAGGCGCAGGAUAUGYUACCUACUACAAAGAGUCACUAAAGAACAAAUUCAGCAUCAGUUUAGAGUCUUCCAGUAAAACAGUGACUCUGAAUGGACAGAAUAUGCAGCCUGGAGACUCUGCUGUGUAUCAUUGUGCCAGAGAGACACAUUGA